GAUGAACGCUGGCGGCGUGCCUAAUACAUGCAAGUCGAGCGAACAGACGAGGAGCUUGCUCCUCUGACGUUAGCGGCGGACGGGUGAGUAACACGUGGAUAACCUACCUAUAAGACUGGGAUAACUUCGGGAAACCGGAGCUAAUACCGGAUAAUAUAUUGAACCGCAUGGUUCAAUAGUUAAAGACGGUUUUGCUGUCACUUAUAGCUGGAUCCGCGCCGCAUUAGCUAGUUGGGAAGGUAACGGCUUACCAAGGCGACGAUGCGUAGCCGACCUGAGAGGGGGAUCGGCCAAACUGGAACUGAGACACGGUCCAGAAUCCUGCGGGAGGCAGCAGGAGGGAACCUUCCGCGAUGGGCGAAAGCCUGACGGAGCAACGCCGCGUGAGUGAUGAAGGUCUUCGGAUCGUAAAACUCUGUUAUGAGGGAAGAACAAAUGUGUAAGUAACUAUGCACGUCUUGACGAUACCUAAUCGGAAAGCCACGGCUAACUACGUG
rnacentral:rRNA from 1 species